AAAUGGAAAUGGGAACUAUAUUUUGGGACGGAGGGAGUAUUACUUAUUGUCAUAAAUAAUUUGAAUGUAAAUACUCCCUCCGUCCCAAAAUAUAGUUCCCAUUUCUAUG
rnacentral:pre_miRNA from 1 species